rnacentral:lncRNA from 1 species
AUACAUCACCUCUUGCUAUAUCUUUAUUGUUAGGGGAUGAAAGCUUUAUCAUAUCAUUAAUUAUCAUUUGCAACUCUUGGUGUUGAGCUUUGAGAAGCUUUUUCAUCUUCGUUUUCCUUUUCAACUUCCUUUGUUAUCAAGUUCAAAAAUUUAGAAAAAUCCACCAACUCUUUUUGUCGACACGCUUUUUAUCAUUCUCCAAACGUGCAAUUAAGAUCGAUUCCAUCUCCGUGUGUUUGUUCUCUAAAUCCAUCUUCUUCAAUUCAUCUUUGUUAUUAGCGACGUCGGCUGUAAUGACUUUCUGAUUUUGUAUGUUUUUAUUACUUUUUUGCUACAGACUUAAGCUGAAUAAUUUUUUAUAAUUUUACACCCUCAAAUAAUACCAUUUAUAGGUUUAAAAUGCAUGCAACUGUGGAGAGAGUAUGAUAUUGCAAUGAUUAAUUAGUUUGAUCGAAUUUGGGUUUUGUUUGUGACUUUAUAGAGAGAUAAAAUGAUCCCUUAGAAUCAAAAUGGGUUCGAUUGACUCUUUUCUUCCUUUUUAUUGUUCAUUUAGGAUUAAAGACAUCUUGUAUACAAUUGCUAGAGGUAAUUUACAAACUUUCAAACUAUUAAAUGGUAUCUUAAAUUAAUAUUAAGUAUUUAAGAAAUAUAAAAUUAUGUAAUUGAGUUAAUAAAGUUAUCUUUUAUCCUCAUAGACUAGAAAAUAUCAGUUCCCUCUCUAUUUAUUUUUUGUGACAUUAUAAAUUUCUUUAAAUCUUGAGGAUUAAUAUGAUUGAAUUUUUCAUCCUCCCAUUUACGAAAUUGUGGUUUCACAAUUCAUAGAUAAUCUUAGAAUUAGCAUAAAUUCAUUUAAAUUGGAAUCCCUUUUUGGUUAUAGAUUUUGAAAAGUUGAUGCAAAUUGCAUAUAAUAUGAAAAUUUAGCAAGUAAUUAAAUGAUGAAAAGAAAGUAAAUUUAUUUUAAGUAGGCAAUAUUAUACUCUUACCAUAGUUGCAUGCCUUUUUUUUACCUAUAAAUGAUGCUAUUUUGAGGUGUGAAAUUGUGCAAUAUUUUUCAAAACUAAAUCUACUACAACAAAGCAAUGGAUAUUGAUGAAUUAAAGAAACUCAUUGCAGCUGCUACUGCUAAUAAUAAAGAAGAAGUGAAGAGAAUGGAUUUGGAAAACAAACUCCAGAAGUUAGAGGCUAUCCUUAUUGCACACAUGGAGAAUGAUGAAAUAUGCCCGGACAAAAAGGAUUUGGUAGAUUAUCAUAAUUUUGUGAAUUUGGUAAGCAAAGAAAUUGAAAAGGAGAUUGAACGUGAAAAAGCUUCUCAAAGCUCAACAUCAAGAGCUGCAUAGUAGAUAUUACUAAUUGGAUAAAGCUUUCAUUCCUUUUAAGUUGAAAUAUCUAUUUAUCAUCUUGUAUUAUCUUAAAGAUAAAUAAUAAAUUUUCCUUUACUCAAAGUGAAAAUGUACUAUUUCUUUUUUAAUGUAAUUCAUCUUUGUGCUCUAAAUUUCUUUAUUUCAACUAGCUGCUGCAGAACAUUGGUGACUAGUUAAUUUCAGGCAAGUAGACAAAUAUAAAAGUAUAUUGAGUUUAAUUUUUACAUGUUGUUAUUCUUACAAAAGAUUUACUAGUAAACUUCCUCGGACCUAAAUACACUAAUUUAAUCUAGUC